AGGAACCUCACAUCCUCCUCAAGUUGGAUAUUACUAAAGCGUUUGAUUCGGUUUCUUGGGAUUUUUUGUUAGAGGUCUUACAAUAUUUGGCUUCCAGUCGUAAAUGGUGUAACCUCUUAUGUCUUCUUCUCUCCACCUCCUCCACUCUUGUCCUGGUUAAUGGUGAGCCAGGAAGUCCAAUUUUGCAUCAUUGGGGUUGAGGCAGGGAGACCCUUUCUCACCAAUGUUAUUUCUGCUAGCCAUGGAGGUCUUAAAUGCUUUAGUUACCAAAGCUGCCCAUGAAAAUUUCCUAGAACCAUUGGAUGUUCUUCAAGCAAAGCACCGGAUUUCUUUAUAUGCUGAUGAUGUGAUUUUGUUCCUCAGACCAACUCGAAAUGAUUUAUCUCUCAUAUCUCAGCUGCUAGAUGCUUUUGGUCAUGCCUCUGGACUACGGACUAAUUUCAGUAAAAGCUCGGUGACUCCCCUUAACUGCACUGAUGCUGAUUUUGCUGCUCCUUUCUAGGCUCAUGGAUUGCGAGAUCAAGGUCUUUCCUUGAAAAUACCUUGGAAUACCUCUCACAUUUCAGAAACCAACAAAGGCUGAUCUGCUGCCAUUGAUAGACAAAAUAGCAGCUAGCCUCCCAAUUUGGAAGGCUUCUCUGUUGAGCCGUGUUGGGUGUCGUUGUGGUCUGUGCUGUCUUCACUGCCAUUCCUAUCUAACAUAUGAUGGCUAUGGAUCUCCCUAAGUGGGUCAUUAGAGCAAUUGAUAAACUUUGGCGGGGAUUCUUAUGGGCAGGCCGCCAAAAUAAUAGUGGAGGUAAUUGCCUUGUCUCGUGGGAAAAGGUUAGAGGCCGUUACAGUAUGGUGGUCUUGUGAUACUCAACCUUGAAUCAAUGGGAUGGGCCUUGCGCAUCUAUUGGUUGUGGCUAUAAAAAACAGAUUCUUUUCGAUAUUAGGAAGGUCCGCCAUUUUAGGUACCCCAUAAUGCUCGUGCUCUCUUCGAUGUUGCCCUGGAAACCAAGGUUGGGGAUGGUCAGACCACUAAAUUCUGAACAGAUCGUUGGCUGCACGGUUGCACUGUAGGUGAGCUGGCUCCUAAUCUCUUUCAAGUAAUUCCUAAACGAGCAAGGAGACAAAGCACUGUUUCUCAAACGUUGGGCUGCAGGUCUUGGACUGCUGAUAUCCAAGGUGCCCUCACUCUACAUGUGCUUGUCGAAUACCUGAAGCUCUAGGAAGUAGUCGAUGAUUUUACCUUGCAGCCUGCUGUUACAGAUCAGCACAUAUGGAAGCUAACAAAUUCAGGGUUGUACACUUCUAAAUCUGCUUACAACACCUACUUUUUGGGUUUAGUUAAGUUUGCACCUUGGAAAAGGAUUUGGAAAACAUGCCCCCCUCUUCGAUGCAAGUUCUUCAUUUGGUUAGCAAUCAAGAACAGGUGUUGGACAGCAGAUCACCUAUCAAAGCAUGGGCUGCCGCACCACUGUCUUUGCCUCCUCUGUGAUCAAGACGUGGAGAAUAUAUAACACAAUCUUGUGGCUUGUGUCUUCUCCCGGUCAUUAUGUGUGUUGGUCUGCAGGCAGUUGCUCCCCAACCUGAUGUGCGAUCUUUCUCUGCCUGGUGGUGUUGGGCAGCCAGCAGUUUGCCAAAGGAGAAGAGGAAAUGGUUUAAUUACCUAGUCAUCCUUGUGGCAUAAACUCUUUGGAAGCAUAGGAAUACGUGUGUGUUUGAGGGUCUUAAUCCUAGUGUCCCUUUAGUCUGCCAAGAAGUUGGUAAGGAGACCGAGCUUUGUUGUCUUGCAGGUAACACGCUUAAGGAGCUGCUCGGUGGGGCGCGUGCAGGGGCAGAUAUUGGGCCUGGACCACCUGAGUCGUGUCCCGGGUCAUAGCCCAAAAAUAUAGUAGAGAUUUUAGCCCAAAAUCCAAAUGAAACCAUAAGGUCUCCAGCGGCUGCCGCUGCCUCCCUCCUCGUGCGUCCCGUCCGCCGUCCGCUCGUGACUCGUCCGCGCCCACCGCCCAGCCAGUCGACCAGGCGUCCAUUCCAGCCGUCCGGCCUCCGGCGGUCCGGCCGUCUGCUCUUGCUCGUUCGCGUCGGCCAGACUUUUCUCCCCGUCCCACCGUCCGGCCGUGCGUCCAGUACUCCAGCAGCCGUGUCCAGAGGCCAGAGCGGCAGAGCCUCCCCUCCCCGUCCGGCCAGCUAGCCGGCGUCAAGCAAGCCAGCCGCUAGCCCGGCGUCCAGCAAGGCAACCGCUAGCCCGCUAGCCAGGUGUCCAGCAAGCCAAACCAAUAAUGUCUGUUCAAAUUCACGUGCUAACUUUGAUGAAGUUAUUAGAGGCGGGGAAGGACCAAAUCGUCUCUAAUUAGGUGUGGAGCAAGGGACGAUGGUCGAUGGCUGAGGUGAAGGUCAUGCAGACUCGUGCUGAUGGACCGAGAGCGAUGAAGGGCGAGUGUUGGGUCUUGACUGACGGAUCAGAGCAGCCAGGUGACCAACCGGGGUGGCUGACACCUGGGACACACACUUGCGCGAGGACGUGGCGGAGUGGACCGUGUUGCCGACAUGGUCUAGGACUGGUGGGACACGCGUCUGGUCGUGGAGGACGUGCCCGAGGUGCAGUGCUCAUGACAGGUUUGGUGGUUUGGGCCUCAAAACCACCUAGCGUUACAGAUGGCGGGUUUUGCUGAGUUUGGGUCUCAAAACUCGGUGGUGGCGGUUCCGGAGGGAACCGGUGGCAGCACGUGGCGUGAUCGUGGAGGGUGCGUCAAGGUGAAGCAACUCCGUGUGAAUGACGUGGCCGUCGGAUCGAAAACCUAAGAGUUGGUCCAUUUCGCCCCCGGUGGAGUGGAUAGGCUUUAUGUAAUUAGGGGUAGUUUAUGAAGUGAGAAUAACCCUAUAUAAAUAGAGAGAAGGAUUGGUUAGUUCAGCAUCUCUUGACUGCCAUUUGUUUAGAGCACUCAUUCUAGAGCUCUUAGUUUUCUCUCUAGGUAGACACCAGUUGAACCGAUGGAUCCACAACGAUUUUGUACUUCGACUGUGUUCUUGAUUUUUCAUGUUUAAUCAGAGGAAGCGACGCCGGUCCGGCCCAUAUGGCUCUUUGGCUUCAAAUCUCAUUUUGUACCCUUGCUGGAAUUUUUGAAGUUUUAUAGUCUUGGUUUCUCCCUUUCCCUGAUCUUGUGUUUUGGUGGAAAACCUUUGAUUAUUUUGAGAGGAUUUGGUUUGGGGAUUGAUUGGUGGUGAGUUGCACUCUUCGGGCCACUGCAUACACCUAGUUGUUGCAGAUUUUGGUCGCGAUUUGAGAAAAACUUAGUUUGAACUCGUUCUAGAAAACCCCGAUUUCUGGCUGUAUUUGUAAAUGCGGUUGAUUCACAAAUCCGAUUGAGCUCAAAAUUUGGGGAGAUCUUGGAAACAUAUUUGCUCAGGUGUGUGUAAAAUUUCAUCUCAACCGGAGUUCGUUUGGUUCAGUUUUGGAUUCAAGAUCAGAAUUUCAUAUUGCUGAAAACAACACUUGUUGAUGACAUGUUUUGGAUCGUUUCAAACUUUUUGGUGCCUGAUUUACGAUCCGUUUAUUUUGCUGGUCUCAUGUGAGUAUUAGGAACAUUUUGUAAUCAUGAGAUCACUCGUUCGCUGAUGUAUUCAUGGUUUGAACAUUUCUUCAUCUCAAUUGAAGUGGAGUGUUCAU